AUUGAACGCUGGCGGCAGACCUAACACAUGCAAGUCGAACGAGUGGCGGACGGGUGAGUAAUGUCUGGGAAACUGCCUGAUGGAGGGGGAUAACUACUGAAAACGGUAGCUAAUACCGCAUACCAUCAGAUGUGCCCAGAUGGGAUUAGCUAGUUGGUGGGGUAACGGCUCACCAAGGCGACGAUCCCUAGUUGGUCUGAUAGGAUGACCAGCCACACUGGAACUGCGACACGGGCCAGACUCCUACGGGAGGCAGCAGUGGGGAAGAUGGCGCAAUGGGCGCAAGCCUGAUGAAGCCAUGCCGCGUGUAUGAAGAAGGCCUUCGGGUUGUAAAGUACUUUCAGCGGGGAUGCGUUACCCGCAGAAGAAGCACCGGCUAACUCCGUGCCAGCAGCCGCGGUAAUUC
rnacentral:rRNA from 1 species